GAACCUCUGUCAUUAGUUCUCAGCUCUCAGUCCUCUAGUCUGAGAGAGCUGGACCUGAGUAACUCUGACCUGCAGGACUCAGGACUGAAGCUUCUGUCUGUUGGAGUAAAGAGUCCAAACUGCAGACUGGAAACUCUCAGAUCUUGAAGGAUCCUCUUGGCUGUGAAGAUGACAGGAGCAAGAAACCCCAGAGGAUCCUAGAAGGAGCUUACUGUGCAUAGGAUCCCUCUCCGAGUCAAUGGCCUGUUUAAGAUGGAUAUGCAGAACUUAAAUGCAUCUGACUGUAGGCACCACCACACUCCCAGUGCUCGCUCAACAGUCUGUCGGGCUGUCUGAUCACAGAGGAAGGCUGUACGUUUCUGGCCACAGCUCUGAGCUCUAACCCUUCUCAUCUGAGAGAGCUGGACCUGAGCUACAAUCAUCCAGCAGACUCGGGAAUGAAGCUGCUGU